GGGCUGCAGUAUUUUGACUGUACAAAGGUAGCAUAAUCAAUAGUCUCUUAAUUGGUGACUUGUAUGAAAGAUUGGAUGAAAUAUAUACUGUCUCUAAUUAAUUUAUAGAAAUUAAUUUUUUAGUAAAAAAGCUAAAAUAAUUUUAAAAGACGAGAAGACCCUAUAGAGUUUAAUAAUUCAUUUAAUUAUAUUUAUUAUAUAAUUUUUAAAAUUAAAAUUAAAUGAAUUAUUUUGUUGGGGUGAUAGAAAAAUUAAAUUAACUUUUUUUAAUUGUUAACAUUAAUUUAUGAAUAAAUGAUCCAUUAAUAAUGAUUAAAAGAAAAAAUUACCUUAGGGAUAACAGCGUAAUUUUUUUUUUUAGUUCAAAUAGGAAAAAAAGUUUGCGACCUCGAUGUUGGAUUAA
rnacentral:rRNA from 1 species